GCGCUAACUUCCGGGAACUAUUGAGCGGCUCCAUGAUCCGCCAUUGCUGUAAAAAAAACGGUCCAUUGGAGUCAACGGAGUUGUCGCAACUCUCUCUCUCUCUAUGGCUCUGGAUUACACUAACAUUAGGAUGAUUUCAGCCAUACCCUGGAGUUGGCUAUGAAACAAAGUCCUAAUUGCUGCUGUACUGUACAUCCCAAGCACCCCCUGCAUUCUUAUCAUGGGAAAACGGUGUCAACACAGGAACAUUUCACUUGACUAUUGACUGUAAGUCUAUAGCAAUUGUUAUUAAUGACAGCCCUGUCUUUGUAUUCAUUUUUUCCCCCAUGUAUUUGAAAAUGUUUUGAAUCUUGACUGGUUCACAGUGAAGUUCAUCUUUGUGACCACUAUUUGGUGCAAUACCAAUAUUGUACAAGUCAAGUACCUGCUCAUGUUUUCUUUUUUUCUGCCUGUUGCUGUUUAAAACUAAAAAGUGUGCCACAAUACAAGCAUUUUCAAUGGUGCUUUACACAUUGUUAAAUUAAUUGAUGUAAUAAUAUUUUUGUCUUCACCUGUUUAAGGCAAAUAAAAGCUACUGAACGCACUUUCAAGAAUGUUUACAUGAGGUAAAAAUAAACCAUGUUCAAUUGUGCUGGAUUUAUUUGCUAGUAAAGAUAGACCUAUGCUGAGCAGUAAGCGUAUGUCCGUAAAUUUAACAGAAAAUGUCCUGGUAAUUUUCUGCCAGUGCAUUAUCCAUUUUUUUAUGGAAUUAUUAUUAUUUUUUUACAGUGAUAUUAGGCAAGAAUGGGACCAAAUUCCAACACCAAAACUCCCGAAACUCAAAACCUUGAUGCCCAGAUGUCUUCGAACUGAAAAGAAGAGGAUAUGCUACACCAUGGUAAACAUGCCACCCAUCCCAACUAUUUUGAGACCUGUAGCAGGCAUCAAAUUUGAAAUGAGCUCAUUUUGUGCAUAAAAUGUAAAA